rnacentral:rRNA from 1 species
GGGCCCGCACAAGCGGUGGAGUAUGUGGUUUAAUUCGAUGCAACGCGAAGAACCUUACCAGGGUUUGACAUCCUGCGAAUCUCUUGGAAACGAGAGAGUGCCUUCGGGAACGCAGUGACAGGUGGUGCAUGGCUGUCGUCAGCUCGUGUCGUGAGAUGUUGGGUUAAGUCCCGCAACGAGCGCAACCCACGUCGUUAGUUGCCAGCGAGUAAUGUCGGGAACUCUAAGGAGACUGCCAGCGCAAGCUGCGAGGAAGGUGGGGAUGACGUCAAAUCAUCACGGCCCUUACGUCCUGGCUACACACGUGCUACAAUGGAUGGUACAAUGGGCAGCCACUACGCGAGUAGGAGCU